UACGUAGGGUGCAAGCGUUGUCCGGAAUUAUUGGGCGUAAAGAGCUCGUAGGCGGUUUGUCGCGUCUGCUGUGAAAACUCAGGGCUUAACCCUGAGCCUGCAGUGGGUACGGGCAGACUAGAGUGUGGUAGGGGAGAUCGGAAUUCCUGGUGUAGCGGUGGAAUGCGCAGAUAUCAGGAGGAACACCGGUGGCGAAGGCGGAUCUCUGGGCCAUAACUGACGAUGCGGAGCGAAAGCAUGGGGAGCGAACAGG
rnacentral:rRNA from 1 species